rnacentral:rRNA from 1 species
UACGUAGGGUGCAAGCGUUGUCCGGAAUUAUUGGGCGUAAAGAGCUCGUAGGCGGUUUGUCGCGUCUGCUGUGAAAACGCGAGGCUCAACCUCGCGCCUGCAGUGGGUACGGGCAGACUAGAGUGCGGUAGGGGAGACUGGAAUUCCUGGUGUAGCGGUGAAAUGCGCAGAUAUCAGGAGGAACACCGAUGGCGAAGGCAGGUCUCUGGGCAUUAACUGACGCUGAGGAGCGAAAGCAUGGGGAGCGAACAGG